rnacentral:rRNA from 1 species
UACAGAGGGUGCGAGCGUUAAUCGGAAUUACUGGGCGUAAAGCGCGCGUAGGCGGCUUUGCAAGUCGGGUGUGAAAUCCCCAGGCUUAACCUGGGAACUGCAUUCGAGACUGCAUUGCUAGAGUAUGGGAGAGGGAAGUGGAAUUUCCGGUGUAGAGGUGAAAUGCGUAGAUAUCGGAAGGAACAUCAGUGGCGAAAGCGACUUCCUGGACCAAUACUGACGCUCAUGUGCGAAAGCGUGGGGAGCAAACAGG